CUAUUCUGUUCUGUUCUGCUCUGUUUCUGCUUCCAUCCCUGUUCCGUUCUCUUCUGUUCUGUUCCGUUCUGGCCCGUUCUGUUUUGCCUUGCUCUGUUCUGCUCUCUCCUCUUUUGUUCCGUUCUGUCCUGCUCUUUUCUGUCUUGUUCUUUCCUCUUUCUACUCUGCUCUGCUUUGUUUUGUUCUGUUUGAUUCUCUAUAGCUAUAAAAAUCAAACUUUACUCUUUCAUCUGGCUACAACCAAUACACUCAGUAUAUUUAGCCUUAAUUAAUCUGAGCUCCUUAGAAUAUUGAUUGAUUGGCAUUUAUCAUAAUGUCAACUGAUCUAAUCUGACACAUUCUAUUCUCAUCAAAAGAAAAAUGUAUCCAUCCUUCAAUCCAAGAUGCUCAGACUGUUUGCUGAUUGUUGUUCACUGUGGGUAUUGCUCUAUUCUACUUUGUUGUAUGAAUCAAUAAUAAUAUUCUAUUCUAUUCUACUCAGGUGGGCAGCUCUGCUCCAGCCUGGGAGCUCCUCUGACUGUCUGUCUCAGCAGAUCACCGUCUGUGGUUCAUCACACCGGCGACCUGCGGCACCGGGGACCCAGGUGCUAAAGCAGUAACCCACACCCCCUCCCUCCUCCUCAACCUCCUCCACGCUCCAAAUCUCCUUUUGGAUUCCACAGGGAGGAAGAGGAGGGCGCUCCAGCGGCCGCAACGAGAACUGCGCUUUAAACAUGAAAAUUUAAACCAUCAACUCCUUUAAUCUCACAACUGAGUUCAUCUUAAACGCAGAACAUUCUGUAGCAGGUUAUGGUUGUAAAUCUUUUAAAAUACUGAAUAAAAGUCCUACAAAAUGGCA